CACAAACGAUUGCACACAUUAGUUAGAGAGCGAUAGAGAAAGACGAGGAGGAAGCGGCGCGCGGGAAACAACGACAUCAUUCGGGGGUCAGUGCACUUUUUUAUUCCCUAAUAAACACGAAAAGAGACAUGGACAACGGAGCUCGCAUUGCCGAGGAUGUGGAGAAGUUUCUUCGCGCUGCGCGCUCGCGCGACACAGCAGAUUGCAGCCGAAUGCUGAAGGAAAAGCCAGAGCUCGUGAACUGCGUCGAGGCUGGCGGCUACGCUGCCCUCCACUUUGCCGCCUUCAACGGUGAUGCCGAGAUGGUUCGCCUUCUACUAGAGUACAAGGCGGAUCUGAACAUCGAGAACAUGGACGGUAACACGCCUCUUGUCAUGGGUGUAAAGGGGCGACAGCUGGAGUGCAUUCGCAUGCUGGCAAACGCGGGUGCCGAUGUAAACAAGGAGUCCCACUCAGGAAGCACGGCUGCGCACUACGCCGCAUCUAUGGGAUACCUGGACUGCCUCCGCCUUCUGGUGGAGCUGGGGGCCAAGACGAUCUACGGGGAGAGCGAAGCGGGCACUCUGCUUCAUUGGGCGUGCCACUCCGGUGACGUCAACUGUAUCGGUACCGUCAUUUACGAGUUUAAAGUGCCAAUCAACGCAGUGGACAAGCACGGCGGCACGGCUCUGUUCACGGCCAUUUUCAUGAAGAAACUGGAGGCUGUGGAGUUCCUAGUUGAGCAUGGCGCGGCGGUCAACAUCGCCAUUGCCAACGACGGCAGCACGCCGCUGCACAUUGCUGUAGAGCAUGCAGAGUCGGAGUGUGUCCGCCUGCUGUGCAGCUGCGGCGCCGACGCUAGCGCCAAGAACGGAGAGGGCAAGACGCCGCUGGACUUGGCGAAGGCCGCCAACAACACUAAUGCGGCCAAGGAGCUCGAGAAGGCGCAGGUACCACAGGAGAAGCGGGCUGAUGAGGCAGCGCGGUUCAAGAACCAGGGCAACAAGGUAUUCCAGCAGGGCGAGAACGUGAAGGCUGCAAAGUUCUACACCCUGUCCAUUCACCUCGACCCAACCAACCACGUCUACUACAGCAACCGCGCCGCCUGCUACUUCAACCAGCACUUCUACACAGGAGCUUACUGGGAUGCUCUGCGCUGUAUCGCACUCGACCCGUCGUGGCCAAAGGGCUUCCUGCGCAAAGCCGCCACUGAGCUUGCGCUGAAGAAAUACAGCGACGCACUCACCACCGCCUCACAGGGCCUGAAACUCGACCCCACGAACAAGGACCUCCAGCAAGUGAAGGACGAGGCGUUCAAGAUGCUGAAAAAGUGAUUAAGAUAGCCGUCUCGAAAGGAGAACGCCCAGGCUGUUCGCUGCCCCUCUCCCGGUAAGCGGCAGCGAGGAGAUGGGGUAGGAGCGAGGAAGGGCUUGCCUGGCGUUGAGCAGAUAAGCCGCCAUUAAAGCAGCUUUUGUAAGACCGUUGUGGUGCACAGUGCACGUGGGAAUCGAGAUUGAAAUAUGAAGGAUGUGUGGCGCUGUCUCUCCCUCUUUGCAGGUGUGAAUGCGUGGGUGCUUGCUAACGUACUUCUUAGCAGAUGCUACGGGCGCCCUCACGUCGCUGAAAACAAUGGAAUGCGGAGCAGAAGCACCGAGCGUAGAUCAGCUCCAACCUCUCCUUCGCUGCAGGAGGGCACAUGGGUACGCUUAAGCGUCUUCACGGUCACCGCUGCUUUCUGCGUGUCCGCGCCCAUUUCUUCUGUCUAGCGCUAACUUUGAUCUUUAGCAGCACACCUACGAGAAAGCGAGGCCUCUCAUGGCGCUGGGGGGGUAGCGCCGUUGCUCUUGCAUCUCCUGCGAUGCCUUCUCUCCUUACCGUGGCACUUGAGCUGCCUUCCAUUGCCAUGUGGAAAAUGCACUUGCGCGAGUGGUGGUGUGAUGCACCUGCGAGCCAAGGCCUGUGUGGCAGCGGCUUCUACUGCAUCGUACCGCUUCCGUGUCGUCCUGCUGUACACCCUCCCUUUCCCCUUUUCUGCUGACACCUCGCGUCGUGUGCCUGUGCAUCAG
rnacentral:misc_RNA from 1 species